rnacentral:lncRNA from 1 species
UUGUUUGCCGAGUGUUUUGUGCCACUCGGCACACCCUUUGCCGAGUGCCCGACCAAAGACACUCGGCAAAGUUAACUUUGCCGAGUAAAACUUUGCCGUGUGCUCGUCGCCGAGUGUUACACUCGGCAAACACGUUGCCGAGUGUUUUUAGGGUUUCGCCGAGUGCCUGGGGCACUCGGCAAUUUGUAGCUUUCCCGUAGUG